CGGCCUGCAGGGGGCGGCGCCGUCCAAUCCGCGGUUGCAAGGCCCGGCCCGGCCCCGGGCACCAGCCAAUGGGGAGCGACUCCGGCAGCGCUCCCGCCCCGUCCCCUAGGGACCCGCGGCUAGGAGUCCCGGGCGUCCGACGCGGCCGGGCGCGAGUUAGGUUCGGGUUGCCGUGUCGCGAGCUCAGUCUGGUGCCUAAAUCGCCGCGAUCGGAGGGGCUGCCGUCAGCGGGAGCGCCGGCCACACUUCGCUUCAGGACACCGCACGAUCUUUAA
rnacentral:lncRNA from 1 species